rnacentral:lncRNA from 1 species
UGUGUAAUGUUUGUUAAACACAGUAAAAUAAAGGCCUGAAGUGAACUUUACAAGAAGAGUCCUACACUCAGAUUCCAAGUGCAGAAGAAGCCAUCCAGCGAAGCAUAAAGGUGAUUGAUCAAUGAAUGGAGCUACCUCAAUGAUUGCUUGUCAGAGAUGUGGUUUCUUGCUCAGCCUGCAGUCAUGCCCUCCCUGUCUUCAUUGGUCCUCUGACUAUGUUUUAAUAGCUGGUAUUUGUGAUGGGGGCAUCUGAUCCACUGCUUGAGUUAAAUAUAGCCUUGUCUAGUGUAAGAAGAAGAUUUAAUGGGAAAUGGUUGGCAUUCUUUCUAAAGCAGAGAGAGAAAGAGAGAGAGAGACAUAAACACAUCCAACCAGUGAGAGGGAGAAAGCAAGCAAACAAGCAAGACAGACCAGAAGGAAAGACCGUGGACAAAAGAUCUGCACUCUGUACCUUGGAAUUCUAGAGCUUGCAGCAAGCAUGGUUGUUCACAGCCGAAUUGCCUUGGGAUUUUAUUUUCAGCUCCUUUUUUGCUUUGCUCUUUCUCGAUCCUAUUUUGAUGACAGCCUCUUCUCACUUUCUGCAGCAGCCCUUUCUUGCUUGAAACAGAAGAAGCAAAUUAAUAACAGAGCCUGCUCUCUCUUUCCCCUUCCACCACCUCCUCCACCACCUCCAUUAUUUCCUCCACCACAUUUCAUUCAGGGAUGGAAUUCUGUAUCAUCAUUUCUGGAUUGGAACCAUUUAUGUUCAAAUCUUCAAAUUGUGCAGUCUCCAUCUGUAGAAUCAUGCUCUCCAGGACCUCCUGGACCCCAGGGCCCACAAGGUAUUCCUGGUAUGAAAGGACCAAAGGGAGAAAAGGUAAGUUUGCUUAUUUUAAAGUGUACA